CUACGGGAGGCAGCAGUAAGGAAUAUUGGACAAUGGGCGCAAGCCUGAUCCAGCCAUGCCGCGUGAAGGAUUAAGGUCCUCUGGAUUGUAAACUUCUUUUAUAAGGGACGAAAAAAGGGCAUUCUUGCUCACUUGACGGUACCUUAUGAAUAAGCACCGGCUAACUCCGUGCCAGCAGCCGCGGUAAUACGGAGGGUGCAAGCGUUAUCCGGAUUCACUGGGUUUAAAGGGUGCGUAGGCGGGCAGGUAAGUCAGUGGUGAAAUCCUAGAGCUCAACUCUAGAACUGCCAUUGAUACUAUCUGUCUUGAAUAUUGUGGAGGUAAGCGGAAUAUGUCAUGUAGCGGUGAAAUGCUUAGAUAUGACAUAGAACACCUAUUGCGAAGGCAGCUUACUACGCAUAUAUUGACGCUGAGGCACGAAAGCGUGGGGAUCAAACAGGAUUAGAUACCCUGGU
rnacentral:rRNA from 1 species